rnacentral:tRNA from 1 species
GAUGCGCCAGGCCGGGGUCAAGGCCUCGGUGCGCUUCUGGUACACCUGGGGUGGGACCGCCACCGCUUCUAGGGCUCAGAUUCUCCAGCACAUUG